rnacentral:lncRNA from 1 species
GAACAAUUGAUUCCCAAAGAUCUGAGAGAGGAAGCCAGGUGUGGUGGUACAUACCUGUAAUCCCAGAGAUUUGAGAAGCUGAAACGGGAGGAUGACAAGUUCAAGGCCAGCCUGGGCAACUUAUCAAAGCCCUGUUUCAAAAAAUAAAAAGGGCUGGGGUGGAACUCAGUGGUGGAGGGCUCCUGGGUUCAAUACUUUUUACUGCAAAACAAAACAAAACUAAAUACAACUGGGGUGAGAGGGACAUAGAGAAAAGAGAUGUGACACAUGACACGAGGGUCCCUGUUUUGGGUUGAUACUUGGGAACAGGAGUUUGGACACAGUGAGUUUGUGUGGGGUAAGGAUCUUCCACUAAAUCUCUGGAAAGGAGGAUCCUAAAGAUAGAAAUCAUUGCCUUCCUCCUUCCUUUCUUUAGUCUCCUUUGUUUGAAAAAUAUAUGUGUGUCUACACAAUUUUAAUAGAUUUUAUUAAGUAGAUGCACAGCAAUGUGAAAUGUACUCACUGUCACUGAAAUGUGAGAUUAAAAAUAGUACCAUGGUAAAUCUUAUGUCAUGACUGUUUUGCCACAGUAUAAAAAAAAUCAAACAAAACAGAAACAACUGAGAAAAAUCUGAGAAACCGCCACAGUUUCCAUAUAUGCCUCACCAGGUUCCCUAUAUAUGGGGCCAGUGUAACGAAGAAUAAUAAAAAUGAAUCCCCAUGCACAGAACUCAACUUAACCCAGAUAAUGUUUAUCAUCCUAGAAACCCACAUGCUCCCUCCAAUGUCUCUUUCCCCUCACCCCUUGCAGAUAACCACUAUCCCAAAUGCUGUGUCAUUUUCUUGCCUUUCUUUAGAGUUUUAUCGCAUAGGCUUAUAUCCCAGAUGUCAGAAUGUUAUUCAGUCUGGAGAGUUUGGGUGCUUCUAUUGAAGGAAAUCACAUUGCAUAUAUCAGGUCAUAAUUUGCUUUUUUUCCCACCAACAUUGUGUUUGUGGGAUUCCUUCAUGCAACUGUAGUUCUUUCACUUUUAUGGCUGCAGACUAAGGUCUGGAUACAACAUACAUUUUCUAAUCCAGUCUCAUGUCUAUGGGUGUUUGAGCUGUUUGUGGUUUUUAUUUUUAUGAGCUGUCUGAGCCUAUGUUGUAGGAGAGCUUCUCUAGGUACAUUAUGGAGAGUAGAAUUAGUGCCUCAUAGAGUGUGUGUACUUGAUAAUGCCCACUGUUUUCCAAAGGUGUGGGGCAUCUGCACUC